rnacentral:rRNA from 1 species
AGAGCGAACGCUGGCGGCAGGCCUAACACACGCAAGUCGAACGGACCCUUCGGGGUUAGUGGCGGACGGGUGAGUAACACGUGGGAACGUGCCUUUUGGUUCGGAAUAGCUCCUGGAAACGGGUGGUAAUGCCGAAUGUGCCCUUCGGGGGAAAGAUUUAUCGCCAUUAGAGCGGCCCGCGUCUGAUUAGCUAGUUGGUGAGGUAAUGGCUCACCAAGGCGACGAUCAGUAGCUGGUCUGAGAGGAUGACCAGCCACAUUGGGACUGAGACACGGCCCAAACUCCUACGGGAGGCAGCAGUGGGGAAUAUUGGACAAUGGGCGAAAGCCUGAUCCAGCAAUGCCGCGUGAGUGAUGAAGGCCUUAGGGUGUAAAGCUCUUUUACCCGAGAUGAUAAUGACAGUAUCGGAGAAUAAGCCCCGACUAACUCCGCGCCAGCAGCCGC